GAGCGAUUAGCUCAGCUGGUUAGAGUGCUUGCCUGACUUGCAAGAGGUCAUAGGUUCGAAUCCUAUAUCGCUCA
rnacentral:tRNA from 1 species